UAUAGCAGGCAACCAUGCCUUUGAUUUAACUGUUUUCACGCUCUGUCUUUUCUAGACUCUUCUAAAACCAACUCCCAGAGUGACGGGCCAGGUGGCCAGGUUGCCCCAGCCCGCGCUGCGGUCUCCGGCGCUCAUCUCCCUCUAGCGGCUGCCAGCGUCAUUACACCCGCCCGUCGGGAAGCUGGGCAGGUUGGCUGAGGCCGCUCUGGGAAGGGCUCAUGGGAGACCCAUAAGGGUAUUCUCUGCCGGGUUGGAGGUGGAGGUCUGAUUCUCUGUCUAUAUUGCUGAUGUCACUUGCUCAAAUAUCUAAGGAUAAAUCUUUACAAGUAAGACAGCAUCAAUAAGCAUCUCAAGGAACACCGUUUUAAAAACGCUGCUGAGAGAAGAAAAACGUUCCUCACAAUUGGCAAGCAACCGCAAAGGGUCCAUGUUUGGGAACCAGG